UACAGAGGGUGCAAGCGUUGUUCGGAAUUACUGGGCGUAAAGGGCGCGUAGGCGGCCUGCUAAGUCGAACGUGAAAUCCCUGGGCUCAACCCAGGAACUGCGUCCGAUACUGGUUGGCUUGAAUCCGGGAGAGGGACGUGGAAUUCCAGGUGUAGCGGUGAAAUGCGUAGAUAUCUGGAGGAACACCUGUGGCGAAGGCGACGUCCUGGACCGGCAUUGACGCUGAGGCGCGAAAGCCAGGGGAGCAAACGGG
rnacentral:rRNA from 1 species